AACUCCAAUUAAACGUCGUAUGGGAUCUUCCGCAUACUGUAAAGAAGGCCAAUUCUUAUCGAUUGAUGAGGGGUAUAACUACUUGAAAUCUGAGAGAGAUUUACAUGAAGUGGGAUCUGCAAUGAUAUCAAAAAUCAGCAAAUUAAAGUUUGAUCAAUUCUUUAAGAUGGGUCUGGUCUUUCCAAUCACCAGGUUGAGACAUGUCACCACUCAGGAUUGUCUUCCUGAUAUUCUGUCCACAGGUUAUUUCAAGGUGGAUGGCAGUGAAAGUUCCAGGAGGAGCUUUCAGAGUGCUGAGGUUCUUUCUGGUGACAUUGAGCAAGCUCGGCAAUGGGCUUUUGAUUAUGUACAACACAUGGUGACGGCAG